AGAGUUUGAUCAUGGCUCAGGACGACGCUGGGCGGCGUGCCUAACACAUGCAAGUCGAACGGAGAUAUUAAGGAAGCUUGCGAAUUAAUAUCUUAGUGGCGGACGGGUGAGUAACGCGUGGGUAUUCUGCCCAUAAGUGGGGAACAACAGUUGGAACGGACUGCUAAUACCGCAUAAUCUGCGCAAGCAGGAAAGGUGGCCUCUGAAUAUGCUGCCGCUUAUGGAUGAGCCCGCGUCUGAUUAGCUAGUUGGUGGGGUAAAGGCCUACCAAGGCGACGAUCAGUAGCCGGCCUGAGAGGGUGAACGGCCACACUGGGACUGAGACACGGCCCAGACUCCUACGGGAGGCAGCAGUGGGGAAUAUUGCGCAAUGGGGGAAACCCUGACGCAGCGACGCCGCGUGAGCGAUGAAGGCCUUAGGGUUGUAAAGCUCUGUUUUAGGGGACGAAUGUCUAGAUCAGUAAUAUGGGUUUAGAAUGACGGUACCCUAAGAGGAAGCCCCGGCUAACUACGUGCCAGCAGCCGCGGUAAGACGUAGGGGGCGAGCGUUGUCCGGAAUUACUGGGCGUAAAGAGCACGUAGGCGGGAACUUAAGUCAGGUGUGAAAGACCGAGGCUCAACCUCGGGGUGGCACUUGAAACUGGGUUUCUUGAGGGCAGGAGAGGGCAGUAGAAUUCCUGGUGUAGCGGUGAAAUGCGUAGAAAUCAGGAGGAAUACCAGUGGCGAAGG
rnacentral:rRNA from 1 species